rnacentral:rRNA from 1 species
UACGAAGGGGGCUAGCGUUGUUCGGAAUUACUGGGCGUAAAGCGCGCGCAGGCGGUUCUUUAAGUCAGGGGUGAAAGCCCAGAGCUCAACUCUGGAAUUGCCUUUGAAACUAGAGAACUUGGGUACGGGAGAGGUGAGUGGAAUUCCGAGUGUAGAGGUGAAAUUCGUAGAUAUUCGGAAGAACACCAGUGGCGAAGGCGGCUCACUGGCCCGGUACUGACACUGAGGUGCGAAAGCGUGGGGAGCAAACAGG